rfam:Lacimicrobium alkaliphilum strain YelD216, complete genome.
GGGGCUGAUUUUGGAUUCGACAGGAUUCUGGACGCCCGAGGUGCAUGCAGAGGAGCGGUUGGCCUCUUUAAAAAGCCGCAUUUAAAGUAGUCGCAAACGACGAAAACUACGCUCUCGCCGCUUAAUAACCGGCCGUGAGCCCUUCCACUCAAACUUCGUUCAUGGGUAGAGGUUCGGAAGGUCAUCAACAUGAACUAGCGAGGGAAACCCGCCUGGGGUUGAACCGCGAAAUAGAAUCAGGACCGCUAUGAGAAAUCCUGUUUGUCGGAGUUCGAAAUAGUUAAAUAAAAGACAAAAUAAGCAUGUAGUACCAACGGUAGACGCUUUCUGGACGGGGGUUCAAGUCCCCCCAGCUCCACCA